rnacentral:siRNA from 1 species
UGAGAUCUCCGAGAAUGGCGCCAC